rnacentral:rRNA from 1 species
CCUACGGGAGGCAGCAGUGGGGAAUAUUGCGCAAUGGGCAAAAGCCUGACGCAGCGACGCCGCGUGAGGGAUGAAGGUCUUCGGAUCGUAAACCUCUGUCAGCAGGGAAGAACGGUCACUGUGCUAAUCAGCAGUGAAUUGACGGUAACUGCAAAGGAAGCAGCGGCUAACUCCGUGCCAGCAGCCGCGGUAAUACGGAGGGUGCGGGCGUUAAUCGGAAUUACUGGGCGUAAGGCGCUCGUAGGCGGUAUGUCAAGUCAAGGGGGAAAACUCCGCGCUCAACGUGGGAACUGCCUUUGAAACUGGCAAACUGGAGUGUGUGAGAGGAUAGUGGAAUUCCAGGUGUAGGAGUGAAAUCCGUAGAUAUCUGGAGGAACAUCAGUGGCGAAGGCGACUAUCUGGCACAUAACUGACGCUGAGGAGCGAAAGCGUGGGUAGCAAACAGGAUUAGAUACCCGGGUAGUC